CCACUGAAUCAGUAGCCACAAGAAAGACGUCCUUUUCUCCGGGAGCUGCAUGGGGACUGCAGGAGUCCAAAGCCUCGCUGUGUUUUAUGGGGAACAGUUAUUAAUAUUGGGUCAAAUAAUCCAGUAUUUCUUCACUCUGGUGCUGAAGGUCCGCUGCGCUGCUCUUUACUUGUGUUUCCCCUUUACUCUGUUUUCAUUUAAAGCCCCUCAGUCUUAAAACAGCGGCACUAGCGGGCCUCCAGCGGGCCUUCAGCACCGAUAGUGAUUAUUACCCUGCCGGAUUAGAUUAGAGCAGCGCGGCGGAGCUCUGUAAGUCCCGGUGAGUAAUUUAGUUAGCUGACUGUUUCAGCUCUCGGUGAAGCGCGGUCUUAUUAUGAUACUUAAACGGCGCUGGGUGUUUGUUUUGUUUCUGAACGAGCAGGUGACGCUGCAACUGGAUUUUAUAAAGAUAUGAGAAAAGAAUGCUUUCGUCGUGGAUUUAACAUGAAAAGGCCCAGUUCCAAAAGACACAACAUCCUCAGUGUCCUGGAGCUCCAGCUGAAGCACUGGCCACUCCACCUUCUCCAUCCCCACCCAAAAGAGGUACUUCUAAGGCAGCUAGUUGAAGGCGUGAUUGAGGUCCAUGCCAGAGGGGUUCUGCACUGUGACCUCAAGCCAUAGAACAUCCUGGUUCAGAUGUACAGUUAGGAACCACGCCUUCAUCUUCUGUUCUUCUGGACCUUCCUCAUGAGUGGUUUACCCAUGAGGCCAAAUCCUCCACAGUGUUGCAGAUAGGAAUCAUCCUGCUGUGUGUGAGAGGUGACCCUUCAACACCAGCACGGAGAUCACCUCAAAGAAGUCUCAGAUCAUCUCUCCACCAUCUGCUCUAUGACCCCUGGCUAAGUAUACACCACGACACAGCCACCACAUCAGGCACACCUCAGUCAGGUACCAUAUAAAACAAUAAUAAUAAUAAUUUAAAAAAAUCUAUAUUUUCAAUCUCUAGUUUAGAGAGUUCUCUAGUAGAGCUGGGCGAUUAAUCGAUUUUAUCGAUAAAUUCGAAUUUAUAGUUAAGGACAAUGUGUUUUUAUGAAAAUCGAUUUUCUCUGAGUUUUCUUUUUCACCACAGACGCUCCUCUGUGGGCACAGAGUGAGCUUAGCUAGCUCCCUCCAUACCUCCCUCCCUCCAGCGCGCGCACCCCCCGCCCCUCCCUCACUCCCUCCCUCCCUCCCUUGCACGCACAAACACACACGCACACACACACAAAACACAUGACGGCGGAGCUUAAGAGCAACUAGCUCCGUGAUCUGGAGUUGGUUCGGUUUUGCGGCGUCGGACGUAGACCAAACAGGUCCUCACUGUAAGGUGAACUAAUUUAUCACUAUACCUUAAACAGAACCAUGUAGCGGAGUGGGAGAAGUGCUGCUACCAUAGGAAUGAACGCAGCAGCAGCACCAGUUCACCAUUCAACGUUAAACAAGGAAUUGUCCCUGGCACAUCUUCCAACCGUGUACCAGGUUUUGUAUGCACUACAAGUUAAGAUGUUUUGCAUAUUCAUGAGAAAAGAUCUCAUUUUAUAGAAUACUGGCACUUAUUUAAAUGCUUUGUUUUGCAAUUCUAGCCCAAUAGGGAAAAGUAUUUACUUAAGAGCAUAUAAAUUGUACUUGUUUUCUAUUGUCUACUUUGUAAGUUUUAUCAAAAAAGGGCACCAUUUUAUUUAUUUCUAUUUGUUUUUAAGGGUGUGUUUAUUUAUUUAUUUAUUUUUUUAGUUUGAGGGUGCAUUGUGUCAGUACCUAAACUAUGUUGGAGAAAGCUUUCUAAAAGUCACUAGAUGUUCUCACUGUUUACAAUAGUUUUUUUUUUUGCUUGUUUCUGGUUGCACUUUAACCACAAAUGGAACAUUUUAAGUGAAAACAAAUUAAAUAAGAACUAGUUUUUAACCAUUUCUUUAUCAUCUUUAGUUUGAUUUUUAGUAGGGGGAAAAAAAUCGAUUUAAACCUUUGGAUGUUUAUUAAUUACUUAACUGUAUUAAUCUUUAUGUAGUAUACUGUUAGUGUUUUAAUCCAUACACUUUUUGUAUAUAUUUAUUUUAUUGUUUAGUUACUUGCUUUAUUAAUGGUUAUUGUAUUGGUGUUUUAGUCUUAUUUUGGGCUUAUAUUCAUUAAAAACAUUUUAACGUUUGUCUUUUAGUGCUUUAAUCAAUUAAUAUUGUACUUACCUUUUACUAUUUUACUAUUAAUCUUUCUGUACUUAAUUAUACAUUAUUUUUUUUAUUUUUUUUAUAAUAUUAAAGGCGGGUUUAUUAAUUGUAUGUCUUUAUACAUUUUUAUACAUUUUUUUAUAUGUUUAUGCUCUUUGUCUUUUUCAGAUUUUUACAUUUUUAAUUUGUGUAUUGACCCAAGGAGUAUGGGUUCCUCUCAAGGUUUCUAUCUCUCUUUCUGAGAGAAUUUUCUUUGCCGCUGUCUCCUUUGUGCUUACUCAAAAGAGGUUUGGACACUUUUUUUUUUUUUUUUUUUUUAACUGUUCUUAAUUUUGUUUGUUUCUUAACUUUGUCAAUAAAUGUUUUUUUAUUGC